rnacentral:rRNA from 1 species
GCGGGGCCUGGCACCCUGUUCGUCCCUAACCGGAGCCGGACACCGCCGCAGGCAUGCACGCAUGCCGAGGCCGAGCCCGACUCGAGCUCGCGCUCCUGGUCCACCUCGUGCGCGUCCGACCCGCCGUACGCGGGCCAAACUCCACGAGGAACCCCACACCCCUGAUCUCGAUUCCUUCCGUAGCCGCACGCUCUGGAUAGGGCGAAACGGAUCUCGCCUAGAGCUCCGCCGUUCGCCGGAGAUUUUCGCCACCAAACCGAGCAGGGAGAGAGGAACGAGCUCGACCACCGUUUGCCGGAGCACUCCGGAGUUCGCGACGCCGCCGUCAGUAGAGGAUGCCCCCGUCGCCGUACUCACGACCACCGCCUCCGCCGCUCAACGCCGCACCCACCCAUCACUUCACCCUCGCCGGAGAGUCGCCGGAGCAGCGCCACCGCAGCCGCCGACUGCCGCCGCCGUUUUCCUCCGUACACGAUUGUCUGGAGUGCGACGUAAACCUUUGUCAGGAGUGUAACUUUCUGAACCAGAACCAAGGAUAUUCAGACGAAUAGUAAGGUACCGUUAGGGUCGUGCGUCUGCACUCAGCAUCGCCAGUGGGCUAUGAUGGGACUCAUCAUUAUUUUUUGCUACUUUCCGUUGUUUGAUUGAAUAAAGCUAGCCAUGUGAUAUGCAUAUUGUUUUAUUUUAUAUAUUCUGGAU